AUUUCAAAUAGACUAACAGCUUAAUUCAGAGAUACAUCAGGGAGAAGUAACCGGAAAUAGCUUAGAAAAACUUUGAAUAGAAGAUAAAUGUGAAAAGCAAACUCAAACAUCAAUAGCAUUUGGGAUUCAGAAGCCUCAGAUUUAACUAUGUGUUUCCUCCUCUCCAGAUCCUUUGGAUGAGAUACAGUACAACAUAAGUAUAAAUAUAACAAACUUUAGUCCCGUCCAAUAAAACCUUACAUAAAAGUAGCUACACUACAUAGAGCCUGUUUGGAUGGGAUUAUAACUUAUGGCUUAUAAGCAUAAGCCAUAAUUGGAAUCCUAACUGAUGACUUUUGGCUUAUAUUUGCUAUUUUGGCUUAAAAAUAAGUGCUUAAAAGCACUUUUUUAUCUGUACCCAAGCACUACUAAGGCGUCAUUUGUUUUCAUUAAGAUUAAGACGUCUGAAUCUGAAUGCAAAUCUAAAUAAUUAAGAUGUUGUCUCUAGAUCUGAACACUAAAUUAUUAAGACUAUUUGUUUUUCAAGAUCUAAACGUUCAUAACAUAAUUUUUUAAACACAAUAAAUAUACAAUUUAAAUUUUU